rnacentral:rRNA from 1 species
UAGGGAAUCUUCCGCAAUGGACGCAAGUCUGACGGAGCAACGCCGCGUGAGUGAAGAAGGAUUUCGGUUCGUAAAACUCUGUUGUUAGAGAAGAACAGCGCAUAGAGUAACUGUUAUGCGUGUGACGGUAUCUAACCAGAAAGCCACGGCUAACUACGUGCCAGCAGCCGCGGUACUACGUAGCUGGCAAGCGUUGUCCGGAUUUAUUGGGCGUAAAGCGAGCGCAGGCGGUCAAUUAAGUCUGAUGUGAAAGCCCCCGGCUCAACCGGGGAGGGUAAUUGGACACUGGUUGAAUUGAGUGCAGGAGGGGAGAGGGGAAUUGCAGGUGUAGCGGUGAAAUGCGUAGAUAUAUGGAGAAACUCCGGUGGCGAAAGCGGCUCUCUGGUCUGUAAAUGACGCUGAGGCUCGAAAGCGUGGGGAGCGAACAGG